GAGAUACUAGUAUAACUGGGUAAUACAUUGCCUUGUCAAGGCAAAAUUGUGGGUUAAAGACCCACGUAUCUCC
rnacentral:tRNA from 2 species